rnacentral:rRNA from 1 species
GACGAACGCUGGCGGCGUGCUUAAUACAUGCAAGUCGAACGGACAGAUCAGGCUCUUGCUGCUCUCUCGUUUGGCGAACGGGUGAGUGACACACGAGUAACCUGUCCCUAUCAUUGUGAUAACUCUUCGGAACUCCGGCGCUUAUCCCGUAUGAUCUCCUGCUGCACGUGGGUCGUUGGAGAGAUUCGGCGGUGGUGGCUAGACUCGCAGCUUAUCCGCUUGUUGGUGGAGUUGGGGCUUACCAGGGUUUCGAAGGGUAGCCGGCCUAGGCGGGUGACCGGCCACAUUGGGACUGCGGUACGGCCCAGAAGGCUACGGGAGGCAACAGUGGAGAAUAUUGCGGAAUGGGCGGAAGCGUGAUACAGCAACGCCGCGUGCGGGAUAACGGCCUUCGGGUUGUAAACCACUUUCGCAUGUGACGAGGAGUGAGUGACGGUAAUGGGUAAAGAAGCACCGGCUAACUACGUG